rnacentral:sRNA from 1 species
GCUUGUCAGUGUUCUAAACCGUUCCUGUCCAGCUACAAU